rnacentral:rRNA from 1 species
UACGUAGGUGGCAAGCGUUAUCCGGAAUUAUUGGGCGUAAAGCGCGCGCAGGCGGUUUCUUAAGUCUGAUGUGAAAGCCCACGGCUCAACCGUGGAGGGUCAUUGGAAACUGGGGAACUUGAGUGCAGAAGAGAAAAGCGGAAUUCCACGUGUAGCGGUGGAAUGCGUAGAGAUCCGGAAGAACACCGGAGGCGAAGGCGGCUUGCUGGGCUCGGUCUGACGCUGAGGCGCGAAAGCGUGGGGAGCGAACAGG